rnacentral:rRNA from 1 species
GAUGAACGCUGGCGGCGUGCCUAAUACAUGCAAGUCGAGCGAACAGACGAGGAGCUUGCUCCUCUUACGUUAGCGGCGGACGGGUGAGUAACACGUGGAUAACCUACCUAUAAGACUGGGAUAACUUCGGGAAACCGGAGCUAAUACCGGAUAAUAUAUUUAACCGCAUGGUUCAAUAGUGAAAGACGGUUUUGCUUUCACUUAUAGAUGGAUCCGCGUCGCUUUACCGAGUUGGUAAGGUAACGGCUAACCAAGGCAACGAUGCGUAGCCGACCGGAGAGGGUGAUCGGCCACACUGGAACUGAGACACGGCCCAGACUCCUAGGGGAGGCAGCAGUAGGGAAUCUUCGGCAAUGGGCGAAAGCCUGACGGAGAAACGCCGCGUGAGUGAUGAAGGUCUUCGGAUCGUAAAACUCUGUUAUUAGGGAAGAACAAAUGUGUAAGUAAAUAUGCACGUCUUGACGGUACCUAAUCAGAAAGCCACGGCUAACUACGUG